rnacentral:rRNA from 1 species
GACAGAGGGGGCAAGCGUUGUCCGGAGUGACUGGGCGUACAGCGCGCGCAGGCGGUUGGUGACGUGCCGUGUCACAGCCCUGAGCUCAACUCAGGGUGGCCACGGUAGACGCACCGGCUGGAGGCAGGGAGAGGGAUGUGGAAUACCCGGUGGAGCGGUGAAAUGUGUAGAGAUCGGGAGGAACACCGGUGGCGAAGGCGGUCUUCUGGACGGUGACUGACGCUGAGGCGCGAAAGCGUGGGGAGCAAACGGG